AUUAUUCAAGAAGUUAGUUGCCUUCCCCAAAGUCACAAAACUACAAAGUGGUGGCAUCAAAACUGUGGCUCAAAUCUUCUGGCUUUGCAUUCAGGCCUCUUUAUACUAUAUUUAUAUGGUAUUAUACAGACAGUCCCAAAGUUAGGAUGGUUUGACUUAUGAUUUUUCAACUUUAUGAUGGUGCAAAACUGUUAUACAUCUAUUGUACUUGAAUUUUGAUUUUUGCUCUUGUCCCAGGCUAGCAAUAUGGGGUAGGAUACUCACUCCUGAUGCUGGGCAGUGGCAGCAAGCCACAGCUCCCAGUCAGCCAUGUAAUUACAAAGCAAACAACCAGCACUCUACAGCGCACUGUGUUGCCAGAUGAUUUGCCCAAUUACAGGCUAACAGGUUUGACCGAGGAGGAAAGAAUGGCAGUUCCACAUCAUGACUGUCAACUGAGCAUCUCAGCUAAGCCAUGUAACAGGUGAACUGGAAGUGUCUUUCCUGGUGGCUCCCUCUAAAAAUUGAAGGAUGAAUGUCAGAAGGACAGCUGAACUGUGAGCCCUGGGAUGAAGUCACCUACAGCCCUAAGACCUGAAAUGCACAUCUCAGCGGAAGACUGACUGCAGCCGUUAUCCUUGCUGUGGAGACGAACCAAAGGCCCAAGCUUGUUCUGGAAAUGAUGCAGAAGGGAUGGACCCCGGCUAAAUCCCACUCUUAAGCCUGGAACCAUGGCCCUAAGUGAAAACAGCUGACCCCAUUUUUCUGUGCAAAUGUUGCCUUUUUGGCCUGCCCCACCCCUAUCUUGUGCCCAUAAAAGACUUCAGCUGGCAGAGCAAUACUAGCGGCUGAUCAUUGAAGAUACAAGUGGCUGAGUGUUGGAGAUUACAGAUAGACAAAGCUAACUUCAGAAUGUACAGCUUCGGAAAGGGGCCCAGCUGGAAAUAGCCAGGCUUCAGAGGAAGAUCACCCUCCCUUCCCCUUUCCAGUCUCCCUUUCUGCUGAGAGCCACCCACCACUCAGUAAAGUCUUCCACAUUCAUCACCUUUCAAACAUUCCUGACCUGAUUCUUCCUGGAUGUCGGACAAGAACCCAGGUGCCAAGAGGGCAGGGGCUGCCACCCUGACCCUCCACUGAGCCAGUUGACACUUGGCCAUCCCUAGGUGGCAGCUGAAAGAGCUUUGGUUGUAACACACUUGGAGGCUGCCGUGAGGUCUGCACAGAGCCUGCUCCCACCAGAGAGGAGCCACUGACUGGUUCUAGCAUUCAUUCACUCUGGUUCCUGCAGUCCCUUGCUCACAUACUCCCUGGCCAGCAGCAGGCUAUGAUAUGAGCCACUCCCAUUCCAGCCUGUGAAGGGGGUCAAGGGAACUAUCCCAUCUCAGUACAGUAUUAUAUAGUUACAAAUUUAUAUAGUUACAGUAUUAUAUAGUUACAAAUUUUCGGAGUAUCUUAACUGAGAAGAAAAUGGCAUUGUUUUCCAUACCAAUUAGAAUAAGAAAUGCAAGCAAAGAAUGACAGUAAAGGUGUGGUGGCUCAUGCCUGUAAUCCCAGCACUUUGGGAACCAAAGUGGGCAGAUCCCUUGUUGCCCAGGCUUGGCAACAUAGCAAGACCUUGUCUCUACAAAAAAUACAAAAAAAAUUAGCCAAGCAUGGUGAUGCACGCCUAUAGUCUCAGCUACCCAGGAGGCUGAGGUCGGAAGAUCACCUGAACUCAGGAUCGGGGGUGAGUCAAGGCUGCAGUGAGUGAGCCGUGAUGACGCCGCUGUGCUCCAGCCUGGGUGACAGAGUGAGACCGUAUCUCAAAAAUAAAUAAAUAAAUAGUAUUAUAUCUUAAAAGCUUUACAAAUGCUUUCAUACAAAUGUAAAUUUCUUAUAGGAGAGUCCAUCUAAAGAGUACCUGUAUGUUCAUUAAAAUAAUCUAAAGAAUUUAAAAGUCAUUACCUCUAAUAAAUGAUAUCUUUGCCCUCAGUGUGUAAAAUUAUGUUAUUUGCAUAUUUUGUUUAAAAAUACUUCUCUACCUGUUGUAGUGUAUAUAGGCUAAGUAAUUUAGUAAUAAAGCAUUGUUUUAGAAACUCAAUUUGGGAAAUUUCCAGUUGUAUGAUUAGUGUGUUUCUAUUAACACAUGAUAGGACCUUUAGUUAACUGUAACGAGCAGCAUUUAUUGCUUGCUUAGUGUG